rnacentral:lncRNA from 1 species
CGAUCGAAACAUUUUAGGAGAAGCACAAAAGACUCAACAGACCGGCCAACUGAAAUCAAUCAGAACUGAGAAACUCGGCAAUCAAAAGAGAAUCUUCCAAGAAACAAUCUUGUCCGAACACAGAAUCGUUGGAGAGUUCGGGAAGUUACUCACCUUGUCGUCGGCGUUGCCAUGGCCUUGGGUUGACCACGAACUCUAGAUAGGGGUUUGUGCUGCGGACCAGAGAGGAAAGGUAGAAAAGGAGCACGAAGGAGUUAGGUAGGACCGCGGCAUGGAGCAGUACAAUCUGCUGGUUCAGCAAAUCAGGGCCACAUCAAAAUAGUACAAACCAUACAGCAGCAGCAGUUAUAGGUACCUCUGCGGCUGAAAAGAGCACCGUCGAAGUUUUAAAAUUCGAUGAUCGGACGAUCCAUUUGGAUCAGUC